UUCCCCACCUUACCUCAUGCCUGGCUGGGCAGUGCUCCGUUCUCCACGCUGUCACAGUCGCCUUGCCCUGCCUUGCCUCUCUGCCUACUCUGCGUUCCCCGCUGGGAGGAGGGUCUGGUGAUAAAAUAGCGGCGAGACUGUGGAAAUGAUGUUACACAAAAAGCAAAUUCGAGCAAUUUUCUUAUUCGAGUUCAAAAUGGGUUGUAAAGCCGUGGAGACAACUCACAGCAUCAACAACACAUUUGGCCCAGGAACUGCUAACGAACACACAGUAGUGCAGUGGUGGUUCAAGAAGUUUCGCAAAGGAGAGGAGAGCCUUGAAGAUAAGUAGCAUAGUGGCUGGCCAUCAGAAGUUGACAAUAACCGAUUGAGAGCAAUCAUUGAAGCUGAUCCUCUUAUAACUACACAAGAAGUUGCCGAAGAACUCAACAUUGACCAUUCUACACUCGUUCAGCAUAUGAAGCAAAUUGGAAAGGUGAAAAAGCUUGGUAAGUGGGUGCCUCGUGAACUAAGCAAAAAUCAAAAAAAUCGUGGUUUUGAAGAGUCAUCUUCUUUUAUUCUGCACAACAACAGUGAACCAUUUCUCGAUCGGAUUGUCAUGUGCCACUAAAAGUGGAUUUUAUACGACAGCCAGUGACAACCAGCUCAGUGGUUGGACCAGAAAGCUCCAAAGCAUUUCCCAAAGCCAGACUUGCACCAGAAAAAGGUCAUGGCCACUGUUUGGUGGUCUGCUGCUGGUCUGAUCCACUACAGCUUUCUGAAUCCUGGUGAAACCCUUACAUCUGAGAAGUAUGCUCAGCAAAUCAAUGAGAUGCAUCAAAGACUGCAAUGCCUGCAGCUGGCAUUGGUCAACAGAAAGAGCCCAAUUCUCCACAACAGUGCCCAACCACACACUGCACAACCAGCACUUGGGAAGUUGAAUGAAUUGGGCUACAAAGUUUUGCCUUAUCCUCCAUAUUCACCUGACUUCUCUCCAAACGACUACCACUUCUUCAAGCAUCUUGACAACUUUUUGUAGGAAAAACGCUUCCACAAUCAGCAGGAUGCAGAACAUGCUUUCCAAGAGUUGGUUGAAUCCCGAAGCAUGGAUUUUUAUGCUACAGGAAUAAACAAACAUAUUUCUCAUUGGCAAAAA